GGCUGCUUUGGAAAACCAAAGCUCUAUUACUACUCCAGGAGAUUUUAUGCUCUGUUUGACUGUUAAAGUUAAGGCUGGCACAACAGGUGCCUUCCAUUUUGAUGCUUUCUGAACCCCCACUUUCAGACAAACAAGAAGAAACCAAGGGAAUUAAUCAUUUCCUCGGUUCAAUUUCAAGAAAAGAUAUUCAUUUAUUUGCAAACUUUGCAAACGCCGUCUGAAUACCAGACUCCAUAUUUAAACAAAUCAAAUCUUGGAGAUCAAGCAGAUGCUAUAAAUCAUCAUAAUAGCUCCCUGUUCCCCCACCCCCCGGACAAACAAACAGGCAUUAAAAGAAAAUUAGUGUUGAAGAACAGAGCUAGUGGCUGGAGCCUGAUGUGUCCAGUGGUUUGAAUAUAAAAGACAAUGGCAUUGAUCUACUUUGGACACUCGUGAACAGACUUAACCACUUUAACACCAAGUUUCUCUAUUUGCAAGGAAGGAAAAAAUUUCGUGAUGCCUUUUGAAAUGACAAGGACAUCAUAAAGAUUAGUGAGUUGAAUGUUGGUAAAAAUAUCGUGUACCUUAGAAGAGCAGUGUUACGUAAAGACUCAGUGCAGUAUCAUCAGAAACUGGCUACCAGGGCU
rnacentral:lncRNA from 1 species